GUGAGUCAUCGAAUCUUUGAACGCACAUUGCGCCCCCUGGUAUUCCGGGGGGCACGCCUGUUCGAGCGCCAUUUCUACCUCAAGCCUCUGCUUGGUGAUGGGCAUCGCCGCCCAGCGCGGCGGGCCCCAAACGCGUGUGGGCGCCAUGGUAUCGGUUCCGAGCGUAGCAAGAGUAGUCCUCCCUCGCUCGGUGCCCGUCCAGGGUCGCCGUAAAACACCCCCAUUUUCAUACAGGUUGGCCUCGGAUCAGGCGGGGAUACCCGCUGAACUUAAGCAUAUCAAUAAGCGGAGGA
rnacentral:misc_RNA from 1 species